GAGGCAGCAGUGAGGAAUAUUGGUCAAUGGGCGUAAGCCUGAACCAGCCAAGUCGCGUGAGGGAUGAAGGUUCUAUGGAUCGUAAACCUCUUUUAUAAGGGAAUAAAGUGUGGGACGUGUCCUAUUUUGUAUGUACCUUAUGAAUAAGGAUCGGCUAACUCCGUGCCAGCAGCCGCGGUAAUACGGAGGAUCCGAGCGUUAUCCGGAUUUAUUGGGUUUAAAGGGUGCGUAGGCGGCCUUUUAAGUCAGCGGUGAAAGUCUGUGGCUCAACCAUAGAAUUGCCGUUGAAACUGGGGGGCUUGAGUAUGUUUGAGGCAGGCGGAAUGCGUGGUGUAGCGGUGAAAUGCUUAGAUAUCACGCAGAACCCCGAUUGCGAAGGCAGCCUGCCAAGCCAUGACUGACGCUGAUGCACGAAGGCGUGGGGAUCAAACAGGAUUAGAUACCCUGGUAGUCCACGCAGUAAACGAUGAUCACUAGCUGUUUGCGAUACAGUGUAA
rnacentral:rRNA from 1 species